UGGGUUUAAUCAAUAUUUCUA
rnacentral:piRNA from 1 species